rfam:Ipomoea nil DNA, scaffold: scaffold2283, cultivar: Tokyo-kokei standard.
GUGUGUGUGCUGGAGUGGUUAUCGGGCAUAACUAGAAAUUAUGUGGGCUUUGCCCGUGCAGGUUCAAAUCUUGUCGCUCACG